CCGGAGAAUGUUAUCACGGGAGACACACGGCGGGUGCUAACGUCCGUCGUGAAGAGGGAAACAACCCAGACCGCCAGCUAAGGUCCCAAAGUCAUGGUUAAGUGGGAAACGAUGUGGGAAGGCCCAGACAGCCAGGAUGUUGGCUUAGAAGCAGCCAUCAUUUAAAGAAAGCGUAAUAGCUCACUGGUCGAGUCGGCCUGCGCGGAAGAUGUAACGGGGCUAAACCAUGCACCGAAGCUGCGGCAGCGACGCUUAUGCGUUGUUGGGUAGGGGAGCGUUCUGUAAGCCUGCGAAGGUGUGCUGUGAGGCAUGCUGGAGGUAUCAGAAGUGCGAAUGCUGACAUAAGUAACGAUAAAGCGGGUGAAAAGCCCGCUCGCCGGAAGACCAAGGGUUCCUGUCCAACGUUAAUCGGGGCAGGGUGAGUCGACCCCUAAGGCGAGGCCGAAAGGCGUAGUCGAUGGGAAACAGGUUAAUAUUCCUGUACUUGGUGUUACUGCGAAGGGGGGACGGAGAAGGCUAUGUUGGCCGGGCGACGGUUGUCCCGGUUUAAGCGUGUAGGCUGGUUUUCCAGGCAAAUCCGGAAAAUCAAGGCUGAGGCGUGAUGACGAGGCACUACGGUGCUGAAGCAACAAAUGCCCUGCUUCCAGGAAAAGCCUCUAAGCAUCAGGUAACAUCAAAUCGUACCCCAAACCGACACAGGUGGUCAGGUAGAGAAUACCAAGGCGCUUGAGAGAACUCGGGUGAAGGAACUAGGCAAAAUGGUGCCGUAACUUCGGGAGAAGGCACGCUGAUAUGUAGGUGAAGUCCCUUGCGGAUGGAGCUGAAAUCAGUCGAAGAUACCAGCUGGCUGCAACUGUUUAUUAAAAACACAGCACUGUGCAAACACGAAAGUGGACGUAUACGGUGUGACGCCUGCCCGGUGCCGGAAGGUUAAUUGAUGGGGUCAGCGCAAGCGAAGCUCUUGAUCGAAGCCCCGGUAAACGGCGGCCGUAACUAUAACGGUCCUAAGGUAGCGAAAUUCCUUGUCGGGUAAGUUCCGACCUGCACGAAUGGCGUAAUGAUGGCCAGGCUGUCUCCACCCGAGACUCAGUGAAAUUGAACUCGCUGUGAAGAUGCAGUGUACCCGCGGCAAGACGGAAAGACCCCGUGAACCUUUACUAUAGCUUGACACUGAACAUUGAGCCUUGAUGUGUAGGAUAGGUGGGAGGCUUUGAAGUGUGGACGCCAGUCUGCAUGGAGCCGGCCUUGAAAUACCACCCUUUAAUGUUUGAUGUUCUAACGUGGACCCGUGAUCCGGGUUGCGGACAGUGUCUGGUGGGUAGUUUGACUGGGGCGGUCUCCUCCUAAAGAGUAACGGAGGAGCACGAAGGUUGGCUAAUCCUGGUCGGACAUCAGGAGGUUAGUGCAAUGGCAUAAGCCAGCUUGACUGCGAGCGUGACGGCGCGAGCAGGUGCGAAAGCAGGUCAUAGUGAUCCGGUGGUUCUGAAUGGAAGGGCCAUCGCUCAACGGAUAAAAGGUACUCCGGGGAUAACAGGCUGAUACCGCCCAAGAGUUCAUAUCGACGGCGGUGUUUGGCACCUCGAUGUCGGCUCAUCACAUCCUGGGGCUGAAGUAGGUCCCAAGGGUAUGGCUGUUCGCCAUUUAAAGUGGUACGCGAGCUGGGUUUAGAACGUCGUGAGACAGUUC
rnacentral:rRNA from 2 species